rnacentral:rRNA from 1 species
CGAAGUAGCAAUACUUAGUGGCAAACGGGUGAGUAUAAUGUGGGAAUCUGCCUUUUGGUUUGGAAUAACACGGGGAAACUUGUGCUAAUACCGAAUAAGCCCUUACGGGGAAAGUUUUAAUGCCGAAAGAUGAGCCCGCACUUGAUUAGCUAGUUGGUAAGGUAAAGGCUUACCAAGGCAACGAUCAAUAGCUGUUCUUAGAGGAAGACCAGCCACAUUGGGACUGAGACACCGGCCCAGACUC